rnacentral:rRNA from 1 species
AUGGACGAUCAGAGUUAUUUUGAACUUUUGCAAAGUGAUGUCGGAUUGAAUGAUUUGCACUGGACCGAAGAAGAACAAAUGGAUCUCGAAAAGGAUGAAGAAGAACAAACUGAUCUCGAAGGGCCUGCAGAACCUACCCCUCCUAUGACAGCAAGGUCUUUGAAAGCAAAGGGGAAGAAAUCAAGCGCCUCGAAGAGGCAAAAGAAUUUCAGCAAGGCUGAAGAUUUAACUUUGGUGGAUGCAUACCUUGAGAUAACUCAAGAUCCAAUCAUAGGAGUCGACCAAUCUCGUGAUUGUUAUUGGAAAAGAAUCGAUGCUUAUUUCCAUGCCAAUAAAUCUGAAGACCAUGGUCGCACACAAGGUUCUCUUCAGCAUCGUUGGGCUAUUAUUCAAGAACAAGUGAAUAGAUUUUGUGCAUAUUAUAGUCAGGUCCUGAAUAGGAACCAAAGUGGGAUGACACGUGAAAAUAAGUUGUCCCCAAGAAAAGGCCACCUGGAAUCAAGAGGGCUAAAGAUGCAGCAUGGCGGGCUCAAAGUUCUUCCAUUACAGAGAGAAGAAGAUAGGUUGGUAGAAGAAAGAAAGAAACUUGCAAUACAAGAAAAAAAGAUGGAAUUAGAAGAAGAAAAGAUACGAAUCAUGAGAAUGGCGGAAGAACGCAUGAUGGGGGCUGAAGAAAGCAAAAUAAUGAGCAUGGACCUUAGUGGCAUGGAUGAGCAAGAACAAGAAUUCUACAAAUUAAGGAAGAGCCAGAUCAUCAACCGACAUCGUAACUCGUCGGCUUGA